CAGCCGCCGCGGGAAUACGUAGGUGGCAAGCGUUGUCCGGAAUUAUUGGGCGUAAAGGGCUCGCAGGCGGUUUCUUAAGUCUGAUGUGAAAGCCCCCGGCUCAACCGGGGAGGGUCAUUGGAAACUGGGAAACUUGAGUGCAGAAGAGGAGAGUGGAAUUCCACGUGUAGCGGUGAAAUGCGUAGAGAUGUGGAGGAACACCAGUGGCGAAGGCGACUCUCUGGUCUGUAACUGACGCUGAGGAGCGAAAGCGUGGGGGGCGAACAGGAUUAGAUACCCCGGUAGUCCCUGUCUCUUAUAC
rnacentral:rRNA from 1 species